GUCCUCUUGUUUAUAUAUGAGGUCAGACCUGCCCGGUGAAUUUUAUUUUAACGGCCGCGGUAUUUUGACCGUGCAAAGGUAGCAUAAUCAUUAGUCUUUUAAUAGGAGGCUGGAAUGAAGGGUUUGACGAGGUGUUGACUGUCUCAUUUAAUUUGAAAUUAAAAUUUAACUUUUCAGUUAAAAGGCUGAAAUUAUAUUGGAAGACGAGAAGACCCUAUAGAGCUUUAUAGUUACAGUUUUAAUUAAUUAUUGUUUAAUCAUUAUUUUUUAUAAUUAUACCUAUUUUGUUGGGGUGACAAAAAUAUAAAAGUAACUUUUUUAUUUAGUGUUCAUUGAUUUAUGAACUUUAGAUCCAAUUUUAUUGAUUGUUAGAAUAAGUUACCUUAGGGAUAACAGCGUAAUCUUCCUUCAGAGUUCAUAUUUACAGGAAGGAUUGCGACCUCGAUGUUGGAUUAAGAUAAUAAUUAGGUGUAGCCGCUUAAUUUAUAGGUCUGUUCGACCUUUAAACUCUU
rnacentral:rRNA from 1 species